UAAUACCGGAUAAUAUUUCGAACCGCAUGGUUCGAUAGUGAAAGAUGGUUUUGCUAUCACUUAUAGAUGGACCCGCGCCGUAUUAGCUAGUUGGUAAGGUAACGGCUUACCAAGGCGACGAUACGUAGCCGACCUGAGAGGGUGAUCGGCCACACUGGAACUGAGACACGGUCCAGACUCCUACGGGAGGCAGCAGUAGGGAAUCUUCCGCAAUGGGCGAAAGCCUGACGGAGCAACGCCGCGUGAGUGAUGAAGGUCUUCGGAUCGUAAAACUCUGUUAUUAGGGAAGAACAUACGUGUAAGUAACUAUGCACGUCUUGACGGUACCUAAUCAGAAAGCCACGGCUAACUACGUGCCAGCAGCCGCGGUAAUACGUAGGUGGCAAGCGUUAUCCGGAAUUAUUGGGCGUAAAGCGCGCGUAGGCGGUUUUUUAAGUCUGAUGUGAAAGCCCACGGCUCAACCGUGGAGGGUCAUUGGAAACUGGAAAACUUGAGUGCAGAAGAGGAAAGUGGAAUUCCAUGUGUAGCGGUGAAAUGCGCAGAGAUAUGGAGGAACACCAGUGGCGAAGGCGACUUUCUGGUCUGUAACUGACGCUGAUGUGCGAAAGCGUGGGGAUCAAACAGGAUUAGAUACCCUGGUAGUCCACGCCGUAAACGAUGAGUGCUAAGUGUUAGGGGGUUUCCGCCCCUUAGUGCUGCAGCUAACGCAUUAAGCACUCCGCCUGGGGAGUACGACCGCAAGGUUGAAACUCAAAGGAAUUGACGGGGACCCGCACAAGC
rnacentral:rRNA from 1 species